GCUGGGUGUGGUGGCACACACCUGUAAUCCCAGUAGCUCGGGAGGCUGAGGCAGGAGGAUCACAACUUCAAAGCCAGCCUCAACAACUUAUCAGGUCCUAAGCAACUCAGCUUAAGACCCUGUCUCUA
rnacentral:sRNA from 1 species